AUUGAACGCUGGCGGCAUGCCUUACACAUGCAAGUCGAACGGUAACAGGUCUUCGGAUGCUGACGAGUGGCGAACGGGUGAGUAAUACAUCGGAACGUGCCUAGUAGUGGGGGAUAACUACUCGAAAGAGUGGCUAAUACCGCAUGAGAUCUACGGAUGAAAGCAGGGGAUCGCAAGACCUUGUGCUACUAGAGCGGCCGAUGGCAGAUUAGGUAGUUGGUGGGAUAAAAGCUUACCAAGCCGACGAUCUGUAGCUGGUCUGAGAGGACGAUCAGCCACACUGGGACUGAGACACGGCCCAGGCGCCUACGGGAGGCAGCAGUGGGGAAUUUUGGACAAUGGGCGCAAGCCUGAUCCAGCAAUGCCGCGUGCAGGAUGAAGGCCUUCGGGUUGUAAACUGCUUUUGUACGGAACGAAAAGCCCUGGGUUAAUACCCUGGGGUCAUGACGGUACCGUAAGAAUAAGCACCGGCUAACUACGUGCCAGCCGCCGCGGUAAAAC
rnacentral:rRNA from 1 species